UUUCUGAAAAAUGUCAAUUAAAGAAAAGAUAUCUGUCAAUUUAUAAAUAUUAUACACUAUAUUUAUUUUUUUAAAUUUUUAGAAAAUUCAUUUACAUAAUGGGAUUUAGAUUUUCACAGACCUUUUGAAUAAAGAAUCCCUUUUAUGAUAAGAUAAUCCUACUCAAUUAACAAUAUAAAGAAACAUUUUUGGAUUUUAAAAAGAAAUCUUGGGAGAAUGAACAGAUAAUCUAUUCCUCUCAUUUGAUUAUUGAUUUAAGAAAAGAUUUCAAUUAAAUGAAUUGACAAAGUGAUUCCAUAUACUGAAAUAUUGUUUAUUUUUGUUAACAAUAAAUUAAAUUUUUGGAUAUGGCUUGGGAAUAAUCUUUGAAACCUAUGAUGUGGUUUGGGUUUGGAUUUCCAUUAAACAUGAACUGGGCCUGAAAAUUAUUUUUACUUAUGACCUAGGCUGGAUGAAGAAAUCAAUGCCAGUGAAGACUUUAUUUGAAGAUAAAUGAAUGGGCAAAUCACAAAUAUGCCUGUUUUCAAUUAUUUGCAAAAUUUAUUAGGAUUGUUAAUUUAAAGAAACUAUGAUUUCAAAGCAUCAUACAUUUCUAAAAAUUGUUGGACACUAAGAAAUAAAGAAAUCAAUUGUGAAGUGUAUAAUGGAGGAAAUAUUGAUCCAUGAUUGUUUUGGCAUAAAUAACAAAAAAUAUUAUAUUUUUUGUGACCAUGCAUUAAGCUUACAUAUAAUAUAAUAGGAAUCUUUUAAGAAAACAUUAUCAAAAAUAUAAGUUAAUAGCUGAUAGUCCAUUAUGAAUGACUGGUAAUCAGAAUUUUCUUCUUUAUUCAAUGAUGGGUGCAUAAUAAAUUUCCUUUAUAUGAUGAUGAUUGAAUCAGUAAAUUUUUCAUUAUUUUUAUAAAAUAUGUUAAUAGAGUGUAUAUUUAUGAAUUUUAAUUUAAAAACAAUA